AUUGAACGCUGGCGGCAGGCCUAACACAUGCAAGUCGAACGGUAGCACAGAGAGCUUGCUCUCGGGUGACGAGUGGCGGACGGGUGAGUAAUGUCUGGGAAACUGCCUGAUGGAGGGGGAUAACUACUGGAAACGGUAGCUAAUACCGCAUAACGUCGCAAGACCAAAGAGGGGGACCUUCGGGCCUCUUGCCAUCAGAUGUGCCCAGAUGGGAUUAGCUAGUAGGUGGGGUAACGGCUCACCUAGGCGACGAUCCCUAGCUGGUCUGAGAGGAUGACCAGCCACACUGGAACUGAGACACGGUCCAGACUCCUACGGGAGGCAGCAGUGGGGAAUAUUGCACAAUGGGCGCAAGCCUGAUGCAGCCAUGCCGCGUGUAUGAAGAAGGCCUUCGGGUUGUAAAGUACUUUCAGCGGGGAGGAAGGUGUUGAGGUUAAUAACCUCAGCAAUUGACGUUACCCGCAGAAGAAGCACCGGCUAACUCCGUGCCAGCAGCCGCGGUAAUACGGAGGGUGCAAGCGUUAAUCGGAAUUACUGGGCGUAAAGCGCACGCAGGCGGUCUGUCAAGUCGGAUGUGAAAUCCCCGGGCUCAACCUGGGAACUGCAUUCGAAACUGGCAGGCUAGAGUCUUGUAGAGGGGGGUAGAAUUCCAGGUGUAGCGGUGAAAUGCGUAGAGAUCUGGAGGAAUACCGGUGGCGAAGGCGGCCCCCUGGACAAAGACUGACGCUCAGGUGCGAAAGCGUGGGGGAGCAAACAGGAUUAGAUACCCUGGUAGUCCACGCCGUAAACGAUGUCGACUUGGAGGUUGUGCCCUUGAGGCGUGGCUUCCGGAGCUAACGCGUUAAGUCGACCGCCUGGGGAGUACGGCCGCAAGGUUAAAACUCAAAUGAAUUGACGGGGGGCCCGCACAAGCGGUGGAGCAUGUGGUUUAAUUCGAUGCAACGCGAAGAACCUUACCUACUCUUGACAUCCAGAGAACUUUCCAGAGAUGGAUUGGUGCCUUCGGGAACUCUGAGACAGGUGCUGCAUGGCUGUCGUCAGCUCGUGUUGUGAAAUGUUGGGUUAAGUCCCGCAACGAGCGCAACCCUUAUCCUUUGUUGCCAGCGGUCCGGCCGGGAACUCAAAGGAGACUGCCAGUGAUAAACUGGAGGAAGGUGGGGAUGACGUCAAGUCAUCAUGGCCCUUACGAGUAGGGCUACACACGUGCUACAAUGGCGCAUACAAAGAGAAGCGACCUCGCGAGAGCAAGCGGACCUCAUAAAGUGCGUCGUAGUCCGGAUUGGAGUCUGCAACUCGACUCCAUGAAGUCGGAAUCGCUAGUAAUCGUGGAUCAGAAUGCCACGGUGAAUACGUUCCCGGGCCUUGUACACACCGCCCGUCACACCAUGGGAGUGGGUUGCAAAAGAAGUAGGUAGCUUAACCUUCGGGAGGGCGCUUACCACUUUGUGAUUCAUGACUGGGGUGA
rnacentral:rRNA from 2 species